AGCUUUGCGCAGUGGCAGUAUCGUAGCCAAUGAGAUUUAUCCGAGGCGUGAUUAUUGCUAAUUGAAAAGAAACUGUCUUGGAAUCCAUUUCUGAAGAAUCUCUAGCU
rnacentral:snRNA from 1 species